AAUUGUCACCAAGCUACCUUGAGAAUGCCCAUUUUUCCCAUGUCUGGCCUCAGAAGCUAAGCAGGGUCAGGCCUGUUUGCACUUGGAUGGGAGACCACUGGUAAUGUCCGGUGCCCUUU
rnacentral:rRNA from 1 species